rnacentral:rRNA from 1 species
UACGUAGGGGGCAAGCGUUGUCCGGAAUCAUUGGGCGUAAAGCGCGUGUAGGCGGCCAGAAAAGUCCGCUGUGAAAACUCGAGGCUCAACUUCGAGCUGUCGGUGGAAACUUUCUGGCUAGAGUCCGGAAGAGGAGAAUGGAAUUCCUGGUGUAGCGGUGAAAUGCGCAGAUAUCAGGAAGAACACCCGUGGCGAAGGCGGUUCUCUGGGCAUUAACUGACGCUGAGGAGCGAAAGCAUGGGGAGCGAACAGG